rnacentral:rRNA from 1 species
GAUGAACGCUGGCGGCGUGCCUAAUACAUGCAAGUCGAGCGAACAGACGAGGAGCUUGCUCCUCUGACGUUAGCGGCGGACGGGUGAGUAACACGUGGAUAACCUACCUAUAAGACUGGGAUAACUUCGGGAAACCGGAGCUAAUACCGGAUAAUCUAUUGAACCGCAUGGUUCAAUAGUGAAAGACGGUUUUGCUGUCACUUAUAGAUGGAUCCGCGCCGCAUUAGCUAGUUGGUAAUGUAACGGCUUACCACGGCAACGAUGCGUAGCCGACCUGAGAGGGGGAUCGGCCACAGUGGAGCUGAGCCACGGUCCAGCAUCCGACGGGAGGCAGCAGUAGGGAAUCUACCGCAAUGGGCGAAAGCCUGACGGAGCAACGCCGCGUGAGUGAUGAAGGUCUUCGGAUCGUAAAACGCUGUUAUUAGGGAAGAACAAAUGUGUAAGUAACUAUGCACGUCUUGACGGUACCGAAUCAGAAAGCCACGGCUAACUACGU